rnacentral:rRNA from 1 species
AUUGAUUUUUAAUUUAAUUUUUUUUUUUAUUAAAUUAAGUUUUUUAAUAAAUUUUUAUUUCUAAAUUUUUAAAUAGGCUUUAAUUUUAUUUUUAAAAAAAUUUUUUAGUACCUUUUGUAUCAGGGCUAUUCAAUUUUUUUUAUKUAWAWAWUUWUSAARUAAUUAAAAGGUCAAUUWAUNAAAWAAUUUUAUUUAUGUUAUAAAAUAAUUUAAUUUAUUAAUUGUAAAUAUAUUUUAUUCGAUUUUAACUAUAUCUGGUUAUUUGAGAUUAAAUUAAAUUUUUAAUCUGUUAUUUCAGUUUAUAUUUAAUAAGGGAUAAUCUUUAUUAAUUUUUAUAAUUUAUGUUUAWAUAUUAUUUUUAUUAGUUUUWAAAUUUUAAAUUUAGUUAUUAAUAUAUUUAAAUAUAAAGUUGUUAAUUURUUUAAAUUUAUUUUUUUAUCARUKUUAUUUWUUUAAUUWAWUUAUUUUUUUAAUUUUKAUUUUAUUAGUAAAAUUUUAUAUUAAAAUUAAAUGAAUUCAACAUAUUUAGUUUCCAACUGUUUAUCAAAAACAUUUUUUUUAGAUUAUAUUGAAAAUACAUUCUGCCCUAUGAAUAUUUAAAUGGCUGCAGUAUUUUAACUGUACAAAGGUAGCAUAAUAAUUAGUCUUUUAAUUGAGGACUGGAAUGAAAGAUUAAAUGAGAAAUUAGUUUUAUUAGUUUUAGGUUUUAAAUUUUAUAUUUAGGUAAAAAAGCCUAAUUAAAUUUUUGGGACGAAAAGACCCUAUAGAACUUUACUAAGUAAAAAAUUAAUUAUUUUUUAAUUUUAUAUUAAUUAAAAUUUCUUAGUUUUAUUGGGGUGAUAAUUAAAUUAAUCUUUAAUUAAUUUUUUCAUUAAUUUAUGUUUUUUAUUGAAUUAAUUUAUUUAAUUAAAAGAAAAAGUUACCUUAGGGAUAACAGCGUAAUUUUUAUGGAGAGUUCAUAUCUAUAUAUAAGUUUGCGACCUCGAUGUUGAAUUAAGAUAAAUUAAGGAAGAAGUAUUUUUUAUAUUAAGUCUGUUCGACUUUUAAAUUCUUACAUGAUUUGAGUUCAAACCGGUGUAAGCCAGGUUGGUUUCUAUCUUWWWKYWWWWAUWWWAAU